GACGAACGCUGGCGGCGUGCCUAAUACAUGCAAGUGGGACGCAAGGAAACACACUGUGCUUGCACACCGUGUUUUCUUGAGUCGCGAACGGGUGAGUAACGCGUAGGUAACCUGCCUAUUAGCGGGGGAUAACUAUUGGAAACGAUAGCUAAUACCGCAUGAUAUUAAUUAUUGCAUGAUAAUUGAUUGAAAGAUGCAAGCGCAUCACUAGUAGAUGGACCUGCGUUGUAUUAGCUAGUUGGUAAGGUAAGAGCUUACCAAGGCGACGAUACAUAGCCGACCGGAGAGGGUGAUCGGCCACCCUGGGACGGUGACACGGCCCAGACGCCUACGGGAGGCAGCAGUAGGGAAUCUUCGGCCAUGGACGAAAGUCUGACCGCGCAACGCGGCGGGAGUGAAGAAGGUUUUCGGAUCGUGAAGCUCGGUUGUAAGUCAAGAACGUGUGUGAGAGUGGAAAGUUCACACAGUGACGGUAGCUUACCAGAAAGGGACGGCUAACUACGUG
rnacentral:rRNA from 1 species